CCUACGGGAGGCAGCAGUGAGGAAUAUUGGUCAAUGGGCGCGAGCCUGAACCAGCCAAGUAGCGUGAAGGAUGACUGCCCUACGGGUUGUAAACUUCUUUUAUAAAGGAAUAAAGUGAGGCACGUGUGCCUUUUUGUAUGUACUUUAUGAAUAAGGCUCGGACAACUCCUUGCCAGCAGCCGCGGUAAUACGGAGGAUCCGAGCGUUAUCCGGAUUUAUUGGGGUUAAAGGGAGCGUAGAUGGGUUGUUAAGUCAGUUGUGAAAGUUUGCGGCUCAAACGUCAAAUUGCAAGUGAAACUGGCAGCCUUGAGUACAGGUGAGGUAGGCGGAAUGCGUGGUGUAGCGGUGAAAUGCUUAGAUAUCACGAAGAACUCCGAUUGCGAAGGCAGCCUACUAAACUGCCACUGACAUUGAUGCUCGAAAGUGUGGGUAUCAAACAGGAUUAGAUACCCUGGUAGUC
rnacentral:rRNA from 1 species